UACUCCUACGGGAGGCAGCAGUGAGGAAUAUUGGGCAAUGCCCGCAAGGGUGACCCAGCAACGCCGCGUGGAGGAUGAAUGCCGUAAGGUUGUAAACUCCUGUUAGAGGGGACGAAAUAUUCAGCUUCGUAAGAAUCUGAAUUUGACUGUACCCUCAGAGAAAGCCCCGGCUAACUACGUGCCAGCAGCCGCGGUAAU
rnacentral:rRNA from 1 species